UACGUAGGGUGCGAGCGUUAAUCGGAAUUACUGGGCGUAAAGCGUGCGCAGGCGGUGAUGUAAGACCGAUGUGAAAUCCCCGGGCUUAACCUGGGAAUUGCAUUUGUGACUGCACGGCUAGAGUGUGUCAGAGGGGGGUAGAAUUCCACGUGUAGCAGUGAAAUGCGUAGAUAUGUGGAGGAAUACCGAUGGCGAAGGCAGCCCCCUGGGAUAACACUGACGCUCAUGCACGAAAGCGUGGGGAGCAAACAGG
rnacentral:rRNA from 1 species